UGCAAAAUUACUAAAAUAAAUGGAAGAAUAAUAUUCUAUCAAAUAGAUAUAAAAAUAAUUAUGGAAAUUGAAGUUUAUUUAAUGAGCUUUCAAUUGCAUUAUACAAAUAUUUGAUAAGUCAUCGCAGUCAGAAGUUAUCUCUUCAUUCAAGAAGCAGUAAAUUUGUAAUAAUUGGAAAAUGUUCAAGAAAUAAUCGUCCAAAUAAUAAUUAUUGAGAGAAAAAUGAACCAUAGAAUUGAAAUUAUAAAAAGAAAAAUUUUUCAAAAGUUCUAUCUGUAAUCAAAGGACAAAUUCAAUAGUUUGAUUCCUAUAAAAUUAGCUAUCAAUAAAAAGUAAUUGCUCUUAGAGCUUUAGAGCCGCUCUAUUAUUCUCUGAUGUCCAUGUCUUUGCGAAUCGCAAAUUCGCGAUAAUGUCUGGGAUUAAUUAGUACAAGUAUUAGCCAGUAUUAAGUAUUAUUAGAUCUAACCAGUUAGAUUAAAUGGUGGGUGUAGGAGUAGAAAUGUAAAUAUUAUAAAACGUAUGUAAAUGCAAAUGUAUUUAAUACUGGAUGGAAGAUUAUGAGGACUGAGCACGAUAUCAUCAGCGUAUUGACGAUGGUUGCGUUUGGCACGUGCGUGGACGUGAAUGCUGUUGAAUGCUGCACAGUGCAGGAGCUGGAUUUGGAUAUGGAGGAGUGCUCUUGUCUCUACUCGCGAAUAACCGCGAUACCAAACGGCCCGGUUUUAAUACUAGAGAAAGAGGAAAAGACCGAGUGGAUGGUAUUGAGGUAGCCGGGAAUCGCUACUCCCUCCUUGUAUAUGUUCCUCUUCCACUGCACUUCCUCUCGCUCUUUUACUCGACACUCUUGAGCGUUCAGCGCACGAGCUUACCCGAGAUCUUCCGAGCGAGUUCGAACCCAAGUAGACGGGGCUCAUCGUAACACUAGGGUCAAAAUUUAUUCAGUGUAUUCUUAACAGCCAUAUGACACGUUAUCAUAUUUUUUCACUUUCUCCAAGUUACACGGUGCUCGUGCUCACUCGCUGAUCCUCGUCUCUCGUCUGGUGGGGUCAGUGCCUGCUCGGAUCUUGAGCAGGAACCUCUGCUCUGGGUAUUCGAUCUCUGGACUGUCAUUACUACAUACAACUGGCUAGUUACUUCCACAAACUAAAUACAAAAACAAAAACAACCCAAUUAAUAAUUAAUUGAUAUCAAAAUUUUUUUUAAUUAUUCAAUUUGUUAAAAUUACUUUUUAAAUUACGCGGGUGGAAAAUUAGUGACGAUUCGGUUUAAAUUUGAAAAUUUGAAAAUAAAAAACUUGUGAAGUGAUUGAGUGUCAGACUCGUGCAGUGAAAAAAAAUAAUAAUAAUUAAUGUAAUUGGAAUCAUUAUUAUAAUUUGAUAAGUUGGAUUGAGUUUGUUAAUUUAAAACGUCACUUUGUCAACAUUUUUUCUAUUUCUUAUCGCUUCUUCCUCAGCUCUUGUCUAAAACUUUUUAUUUCUUCUUCAAUUGUAUAUUUAACGUCAGUUUAACAACUGAUAAAUUUAUGAGACCAACUAUUGGUUUUAUUUAUUAAUUUUUUAUUGUUUUGUGUCUUUAAACAGGACCUGAAAUUUAUUGGAAUUAUUUUGUUAUCAAACGAUUGACUGUUGUUAGUGACUUCAGUGUUUAGAUGCGAGUUACUUCUCUGCUAUGAAUUUUUAUCAAAGAAAAUGAGGAUUUUUUGUAAAUAAUGACAGAAGAAUAAAUUAAAAAUGAAUUAACUUUUCGCUUGAUGUUACACAACCAAGAUUAUAAACAAAGAUCAAAAACAAACAAACUGGUGAAAUCUCAAGUACAAUAAUAACAACAAAACUCUCAGAUGUUAAGCAAAAAGCAAGUAAGCGUGGCACGCAAAAGGUUGGAAAAUAAUUUCCUCCUUCUAGCUGGCGCCUGAUUUGUAUGAAUAUGGAGCAUGCAGAUAAUCGGCGAUUGCUGAUAAAUAGUUCCCGUAAAUUAUUAAUAUCGAGAGCUCGCGGUGGGAUAAUCAAUAGCAAGAGCAGUAUCAUCAGUAACAUUAGACUAAAAUCCCUCAC